UACGGAGGGUGCAAGCGUUAUCCGGAUUCACUGGGUUUAAAGGGUGCGUAGGUGGGCAGGUAAGUCAGUGGUGAAAUCUCCGGGCUUAACUCGGAAACUGCCGUUGAUACUAUCUGUCUUGAAUAUCGUGGAGGUUAGCGGAAUAUGUCAUGUAGCGGUGAAAUGCUUAGAUAUGACAUAGAACACCAAUUGCGAAGGCAGCUGACUACGCGAGUAUUGACACUGAGGCACGAAAGCGUGGGGAUCAAACAGG
rnacentral:rRNA from 1 species